AUUGAACGCUGGCGGCAUGCCUUACACAUGCAAGUCGAACGGUAGAGUAGCAAUACUUGAGAGUGGCGAACGGGUGAGUAAUAUAUCGGAACGUGCCCAACUGUGGGGGAUAACGUAGAGAAAUUUACGCUAAUACCGCAUACGAUCUAAGGAUGAAAGCGGGGGAUCGCAAGACCUCGCGCAGUUGGAGCGGCUGAUAUCAGAUUAGCUUGUUGGUGAGGUAAAAGCUCACCAAGGCGACGAUCUGUAGCUGGUUUGAGAGAACGACCAGCCACACUGGGACUGAGACACGGCCCAGACUCCUACGGGAGGCAGCAGUGGGGAAUUUUGGACAAUGGGCGAAAGCCUGAUCCAGCAAUGCCGCGUGCAGGAAGAAGGCCUUCGGGUUGUAAACUGCUUUUGUACGGAACGAAACGGUCCUUUUUAAUACAGGGGGCUAAUGACGGUACCGUAAGAAUAAGCACCGGCUAACUACGUG
rnacentral:rRNA from 1 species